ACUGGAGAUGGCGACCGGCGCACGGGUGAGUAACACGUAUCCAACCUGCCGAUAACUCGGGGAUAGCCUUUCGAAAGAAAGAUUAAUACCCGAUGGCAUAAUAGAACCGCAUGGUUUGAUUAUUAAAGAAUUUCGGUUAUCGAUGGGGAUGCGUUCCAUCAGGCAGUUGGUGAGGUAACGGCCCACCAAACCUUCGAUGGAUAGGGGUUCUGAGAGGAAGGUCCCCCACAUUGGAACUGAGACACGGUCCAAACUCCUACGGGAGGCAGCAUG
rnacentral:rRNA from 1 species